GGAUCCAUAUUACUCAAGGCUGCAUACCUUGAAGGCGUAGGAAUCGUGACUUGGCCAUACUUCAGGUUCUGUGGACUUGGGCUUCUCCCUAUUUUCUCUGUCGAUACUCUUUUCCAUUCAUUUAUCUCUCCCUCUUCUAUCUCGGAUUCUUGCUCCUUCUUCUUAAAACUACCUUCAUCUUUUUUAUCUUUACCAUGUGUAUUACUUCUUUCAUUCAUUUCUUCCAUACUCUCCUUCCCAAUAUCUACAUCUACCACCUCUCUUCUCAUUUCUGUGCUUCCAACCUCUC
rnacentral:lncRNA from 1 species